UUGUCCAUUUUAAUAUCAUGUGUUUACCAUAUGUGAGUUGCAUUAAAUUAUAUCGCUAGGGGCCCGCUCAAUGGGUCCAGGACAUUAAAGUCCUUGGUAUGCCACAAUGCGAUUUCAUGUUAAAGUUAUGGUUGCAACCAGUCGCCAGGGGCCGGCUCAAUCGGUCCAGGACGGAAAGGUCCUUGGUAUGCCACAGUGCGACUUUCAGUUACGAAUGUAUUGAUCAUAUGUGAUUCUCAUUUUAUUAACGUGGACAAUAAUUGCAUGUCCCCACACUGAGUGUACCCUGUAUGCUCAUCCCAU
rnacentral:lncRNA from 1 species